rnacentral:rRNA from 1 species
GACGAACGCUGGCGGCGUGCUUAACACAUGCAAGUCGAACGGAAAGGCCCUUCGGGGUACUCGAGUGGCGAACGGGUGAGUAACACGUGGGUGAUCUGCCCUGCACUUUGGGAUAAGCCUGGGAAACUGGGUCUAAUACCGAAUAGGACCACGCGCUUCAUGGUGUGUGGUGGAAAGCUUUUGCGGUGUGGGAUGGGCCCGCGGCCUAUCAGCUUGUUGGUGGGGUAAUGGCCUACCAAGGCGACGACGGGUAGCCGGCCUGAGAGGGUGACCGGCCACCCUGGGACUGAGAUACGGCCCAGACUCCUACGGGAGGCAGCAGUGGGGAAUAUUGCACAAUGGGCGCAAGCCUGAUGCAGCGACGCCGCGUGAGGGAUGACGGCCUUCGGGUUGUAAACCUCUUUCAAUAGGGACGAAGCGCAAGUGACGGUACCUAUAGAAGAAGCACCGGCCAACUACGUG